UUCGCAAUGCCCGAAAGGGUGACGAAGCGACGCCGCGUGUGGGAAGAAGGCCUUCGGGUUGUAAACCACUGUCGGGAGUUAGGAAAUGUAAGGGUGUUAAUAGUAUCCUUACUUGACUAAGGCUCCGGAGGAAGCCACGGCUAACUCUGUGCCAGCAGCCGCGGUAAUACAGAGGCGGCAAGCGUUGUUCGGAAUUAUUGGGCGUAAAGAGCACGUAGGCGGCCUUGUAAGUCAGUUGUGAAAGCCUUCUGCUUAACGGAAGAACAGCAGCUGAUACUGCAAGGCUAGAGUGCGGAAGGGGAGAGUGGAACUUCUGGUGGAGCGGUGAAAUGCGUAGAUAUCAGAAGGAACACCGGCGGCGAAGGCGACUCUCUGGUCCGUAACUGACGCUGAGUGUGCGAAAGCUAGGGGAGCAAACGGGAUUGGAUACCCCGGUAGUCCUAGCCGUAAAC
rnacentral:rRNA from 1 species